AUUGAACGCUGGCGGCAGGCCUAACACAUGCAAGUCGAACGAGUGGCGGACGGGUGAGUAAUGUCUGGGAAACUGCCUGAUGGAGGGGGAUAACUACUGGAAACGGUAGCUAAUACCGCAUACCAUCGGAUGUGCCCAGAUGGGAUUAGCUAGUAGGUGGGGUAAAGGCUCACCUAGGCGACGAUCCCUAGCUGGUCUGAGAGGAUGACCAGCAAAACUGGAACGGAGAAACGGUCCAGACUCCUACGGGAGGAAGCAGUGGGGAAUAUUGCAAAAUGGGCGAAAGCCUGAUGCAGCCAUGCCGCGGGUAGGAAGAAGGCCUUCGGGUGGUAAAGUACUUUCAGCGAGGAGGCGUUACCCGCAGAAGAAGCACCGGCUAACUCCGUGCCAGCCGCCGCGGUAAUUC
rnacentral:rRNA from 1 species